GGAAAGGAGAAACGAAACCAUAUGUAUGGGGACACCAGGGAUGGAUUCCAGGGAAGUUUUGUUCUAGGGUAAUGUUAAACAUUUCACUGGCGCUUUUUUUUCUCCAUACGUGUGUGUGGGGUUGGCCUUUGUUUUCAGGAGGCCGCCGUAGCUAUCCCCCAGCGCCCAGAGCAAAUAAACCCCAAACAAAGCAUCCCAGCAGCUCUCAGGGCUCGGUUCAGCCUCCUGCCUCUUUUUCCUUUGUGUAGGGGCCGCUGGGGAAAGAAAGCAAUGUUUAUCUUUGAGACACAGAGCUGGGCUGAAAUCAUCUGUAUUUUUUUAAUUAUGGGGGAUUUGAAGCCCAAAAGGGUUGUUGGAGAGCUGAAGUUCCUCGUGUUGCUUUUCCUGCAGCCAUUAGUGCAGGAGAGGAGGUGUCCCUGGGAAGAUGCUCAGGCAGGGAUGCAUUUUGGAAAGUAGCCCAUCUGGUUCCCCUCUUGACUCACGGGAAGCAACAUCUGCUCCAUGGAGGUUCAACCAAAGCACUGCAUUUAGCAGCAUCGUUUGGUUUUGCAACGGCAUCUCAGCCUGGAGCUGAGCAGAACUGUUCCCGCUGACCGCCGGAAGCAGAAGGGAGCCGGCUGCUGACUUUCCUAAAUAUUGAUGCUUUAGAAAACGACUAUUUCGUGCUUCGUAAACAGCUGAGUGAGGGGCACGUCUCAUUCGCCACCCAAACGGUGCCGAUGGUGCUGCGGGAGGGCGGGACUCUCGGCGGAGGCCACAAACAGACCGACAGCGAAGCACAGCCGGCGGCGCAGCGAGGGAGCCGCGCUCGCGGGGACCCUGAAGAAACUCCUCUGCACUUCAGAAAGCAGGCGGUGCGCUGCCGGUUGGUUGGCUGAGAGCCGCCGGGCUGCGACAGGCGCGAGACGUUCCCGCGGCAGCGCGCUGUGCGCUGUGAGAAGAGCCGGAGCCGGGAAACCUGAAACGCCAUUCUCUUCCCGCCAGAGCAAAGCCCGCCGUCACCCCGAGCGGUCGCGGCUCCGGGCGGCGGCGGACGGCUGUGGGAGCAGAGCGGCGGGCUGCCCCUAGGUGGCGCUCGGCUGCAGUGGAGGGACGGAGCGGGAAGGGCGAGAGGUGCCGCGGCCCAGUGGAGCCUUUGUCCUGCGGUGCGGCUGCAGGACGCGCCGCCCGCUGUACCCCCUAGCCUGCUAGAAAAGGCUUCUUUCCCAUCGCAGCUGCACGUGCGGGUGUCUUUCUAAGUGCGAAACACCCGGCUUAGGCGGAGUGCUGGCUGCCCUCGGCGAAGUGCUGAGCGUCGUUCGUGGAGCAGUUGGGCCCUGAGGUGCCCCGCCCGCGGCCGCCCGCUCUGCUGCUGCUGCUGCUGCUGCAGCCCCGAGCGCGCACAGCCGCCCCCACAUGGGGCUUUCGUGCAGCUCUGGGGCCGCGCACUCCGGGAGGGAUCGCGGCUGUUCUGUGUGUCUGAUCGCAGACAGCCCGGCAGCACCCGCUGUUCGCCCCGCGGGAGCCGUCUGCAGGUGCAGGGCUGGGUUUCCCUGGCGCACGAGAGGGCUUUGCUCUGAAGCUGGAGGUUCAUUCGGCACCAAGGCGGGAGGAAUAACAAAUAAUGCACCGUGGCAAGCAACCGUACGCUGACAGCUGAAACACGGAGUGAAGUACCUAUGGUUGUGUGUGCCAUAAGACAGCCCCUGGACUCAGAAUCACAGAAUCACAGAACGUUUGAGGACCUCUGGAUCCAUCCUCUGCUCAACCAAGGCACCCAGAGCAGUGUGCCCCGGCCCAUGUCCAGCACCUUUCAAAGAUCCCCAAGGAGACUCCACAACCCUGGUCUCCGACCAGCUUGUGCCAGGGCUCCAUCAACUGCAAAGCAGAGUGCUUCUUGAAGUUCAGGCAGAACCUCCCACCGUCCAGUUUGUGCCCGCUACUUCUUGUCCUCGCUCUGGGCACCGCUGACAGGAGCCUGGCUCUGUUCUCUCUGCAUCCUCCCUUCAGGAGAGGUGCUCCAGGCCCUUCAUCACCUUGGUGGCCCUUGGUGUUGGACUCUUCCCACUAUGGCCAGGACUCUCUUGCACUGGGCAGCCCAGAACUGGAGUCAGCACUUCCGGCGUGGCCUCACCAGUACUGAGUAGAGGGGCAGGUCCACCUCUCCCAACCUGCUGGUAAUACUUUGCCAAAUGCACCCAAG
ensembl:lncRNA